GGCUCAGGAUGAACACUAGCGGCAGGCUUAACACAUGCAAGUCGAGGGGUAUAGGUUUUCGGACCUAGAGACCGGCGCACGGGUGCGUAACGCGUAUGCAAUCUACCUUUUGCAGAGGGAUAGCCCAGAGAAAUUUGGAUUAAUACCUCAUAGUAUAUGGACUUCGCAUGGAGACCAUAUUAAAGUUCCAACGGCAAAAGAUGAGCAUGCGUCCCAUUAGCUAGAUGGUAAGGUAACGGCUUACCAUGGCUACGAUGGGUAGGGGUCCUGAGAGGGAGAUCCCCCACACUGGUACUGAGACACGGACCAGACUCCUACGGGAGGCAGCAGUGAGGAAUAUUGGACAAUGGGCGCAAGUCUGAACCAGCCAUGCCGCGUGCAGGAUGACGGUCCUAUGGAUUGUAAACUGCUUUUGUACGAGAAGAAACAACAUUACGUGUAAUGUCUUGACGGUAUCGUAAGAAUAAGGAUCGGCUAACUCCGUG
rnacentral:rRNA from 1 species